rnacentral:rRNA from 1 species
AGGGUGAACGGCCACACUGGAAGUGAGACACGGUCGAGAAUCCUACGGGAGGCAGCAGUAGGGAAGCUUCCGCAAUGGGAGAAAGCCUGACGGAGCAACGCCGCGUGAGUGAUGAAGGUCUUCGGAUCGUAAAGCUCUGUUGUUAGGGAAGAACAAAUGUGUAAGUAACU